UACGUAGGGUGCGAGCGUUGUCCGGAAUUAUUGGGCGUCAAGAGCUCGUAGGCGGUUUGUUGCGUCUAUCGUGAAAACCUGCAGCUUAACUGUGGGCUUGCGGUGGAUACGGGCAGACUUGAGUUCGGUAGGGGAGACUGGAAUUCCUGGUGUAGCGGUGAAAUGCGCAGAUAUCAGGAGGAACACCGGUGGCGAAGGCGGGUCUCUGGGCCGAUACUGACGCUGAGGAGCGAAAGCGUGGGGAGCGAACAGG
rnacentral:rRNA from 1 species